rnacentral:misc_RNA from 1 species
GCAAACUUGGUCAUUUAGAGGAAGUAAAAGUCGUAACAAGGUAACCGUAGGUGAACCUGCGGUUGGAUCAUUAAUAAAUCUAAAGAGUUAACUUCUUAACGAAGUUUAACGCUUUAAACCCUUGUGAACUGUUAAUGUCUCUGGUGGGUUAAAAAUGGGAGAUUAUGUCUUCAGGGCUGAAAGGCUCACCCACUGUUUAAAUAUAAGCCUAUAUAGAUUUUAGUUAGUCUAAAGAAAUGAAUUAAUAAUUCUAAAACAACUUUUGACAACGGAUCUCUUGGCUCUCGCAUCGAUGAAGAACGCAGC